rnacentral:rRNA from 2 species
GGGGAAUAUUGCGCAAUGGGGGAAACCCUGACGCAGCAAUACCGCGUGAGUGAAGAAGGUUUUCGGAUCGUAAAGCUCUGUUAUUGGGGAAGAAAAAAAGACGGUACCCAAGAAGAAAGUCCCGGCUAACUACGUGCCAGCAGCCGCGGUAAUACGUAGGUGGCGAGCGUUGUCCGGAAUUACUGGGCGUAAAGGGCGCGUAGGCGGCCUGUUAAGUCAGAUGUGAAACCCCCAGGCUCAACUUGGGGAUUGCAUAUGAAACUGAAUGGGCUCGAGUGUCGGAGAGGAAAGCGGAAUUCCUAGUGUAGCGGUGAAAUGCGUAGAUAUUAGGAGGAACACCAGUGGCGAAGGCGGCUUUCUGGACGAUAACUGACGCUGAGGCGCGAAAGCGUGGGGAGCAAACA